rfam:Trichinella britovi scaffold530s, whole genome shotgun sequence.
AAAGAUGGAGCAUGGAAUUCGACUGAAUUUAAAUUUUUUGAAUCUGCUUCUUGCGAAUCAUUUGGAUUUGUAUCGUUUCUACCCCCACAUAAAGCAUCAAUCCACAAAAACCACAUAAAAUAACAAACAUAGAGUAUUGCAAAAUUUCAUUAAUAAAUCAAAUUAGCUAUGUUGAUUAUUUGCUUGGUUUUUAGGGAAUUUUGUCUGCAAAUUGUCAGAACAUGUCGUAGUACAGGAAUUGAAAUGCCAGACAGCCCAAAAUUUUACGAACAAGCGCGAAAAAAUGAUACGGUUUCCCUUGAACGAGGAAUUCCCAGUAAGCGUGAGUCAUUAGCUCGCGUUGAUUACGUCCCUGCCCUUUGUACACACCGCCCGUCGCUACUACCGAUUGGAUGAUUUAGUGAGGUGUUUUGACUGGCGCCAGUAGUCGGAUGUAUUCGGCUUCGCGCCGGGAAAUUUCCCAAACCAAAUCAUCUAGAGGAAGUAAAAGUCGUAACAAGGUUUCCGUAGGUGAACCUGCGGAAGGAUCAUUA